rnacentral:rRNA from 1 species
GCCUAAAGCGUCCGUAGCCGGCUUUGUAAGUUUUCGGUUAAAUCUAUAUGCUCAACAUAUAGGCUGCCGGGAAUACUGCAAAGCUAGGGAGUGGGAGAGGUAGACGGUACUCCGUAGGAAGGGGUAAAAUCCUUUGAUCUAUGGAUGACCACCUGUGGCGAAGGCGGUCUACCAGAACACGUUCGACGGUGAGGGAUGAAAGCUGGGGGAGCAAACCGGAUUAGAUACCCGGGUAGUCCCAGCUGUAAACUAUGCAAACUCAGUGAUGCAUUGGCUUGUGGCCAGUGCAGUGCCGCAGGGAAGCCGUUAAGUUUGCCGCCUGGGAAGUACGUACGCAAGUAUGAAACUUAAAGGAAUUGGCGGGGGAGCACCACAAGGGGUGAAGCCUGCGGUUCAAUUGGAGUCAACGCCAGAAAUCUUACCCGGAGAGACAGCAGGAUGAAGGUCAAGCUGAAGACUUUACCAGACAAGCUGAGAAGUGGUGCAUGGCCGUCGCCAGCUCGUGCCGUGAGGUGUCCUGUUAAGUCAGGUAACGAGCGAGAUCCUUGCCUCUAGUUGCCACCAUUACUCUCAGGAGUAGUGGGGCGAAUUAGCGGGACUGCCGUAGUUAAUACGGAGGAAGGAGAGGGCCACGGCAGGUCAGUAUGCCCCGAA